rnacentral:rRNA from 1 species
UACGAAGGGGGCUAGCGUUGCUCGGAAUCACUGGGCGUAAAGCGCACGUAGGCGGAUUGUUAAGUCAGGGGUGAAAUCCUGGAGCUCAACUCCAGAACUGCCUUUGAUAUCGUGCGAUCUCGAGUCCGGGAGAGGUGAGUGGAACUGCGAGUGUAGAGGUGAAAUUCGUAGAUAUUCGCAAGAACACCAGUGGCGAAGGCGGCUCACUGGCCCGGUACUGACGCUGAGGUGCGAAAGCGUGGGGAGCAAACAGG